GUGCUCUUUUCCACAGCACACACACACAAAAAUGGGAAUAACACAAAGAAAAUUAGCAUGACCCCUGCUCAAGAAUGACAUGCAAAUUUGUUAAAUGUUCCAUAUUUAA
ensembl:snRNA U6 U6 spliceosomal RNA